CUGGGGAGCCUGUUCCAGUGCCUGACCACCCUCUGGCACCCAAGACUGCAUGCAGGACUCAAAGUGAGGGUGCACCAGUGCAGAGAGGAGCCAGACAAUCCCCUCUGGCGAUGCUUUGCCUGAUGCCCCCCAGGACACUGUUGGCCCUCCUGGCUGCCAGGUCACUGCUGACUCAUAUUCAACGUGCCAUCAACCAGGACCUCCAGGUCCCUUUCUGCAGGAAACGUUGCCUUGUGGGUGGUGUGAUAGCAAUUAAGGGUCAGAGAGAGAUAACCUGGGAAAGGUACAGCGGGCACAUGGCUGGGGCAGCUUUGCUUAGUAUGAGCUCAGUGAUUGUAAAAUUUACUCAGUCUUAAUGCUCUGUAUUUUCAUAAUUCUUGUUUGAGGUACACAGGAAUUAUUCUACAGAAUGAUACUGGGAACAUUUAAGCCUCUUUUCUCUGUAAUAAAUGAUUGUGUUUUAACAUCUGCUUCUGGGCAACUUGCUAGAGCUGCUAGGUGGUUCAUCAGAUCAUUAUGUAAACAUUAUGCCAUCAAUUUGAAGUGAUAAAAGCUAAUUUUAAAAUUUAAUUAAAAGCCUACCAUUUGUAAAGUGAAAAAAUAUUACUGCCUGGUUUUGGGGGUUGGUUUGUUUGUUUUUCCAGAAUGUUCAAUUUUCUGUAAAAUCAGACAAAAUAGAUAAAGCAGAACUGCACAGCAGAUUUGAUAUAUUCAUGUACAUAUUGAAAAUUUGUUUGAUUUAUAUAGUAAAUAGCUAAGGGAUUGGAAGCAACUUGAGAAGAAAUUUACUGUGACCUCUCCCUCCAGAGAGGUUAAAUAAUGCCUGUAUUGUUUUUGGCAGAUAGUUGUCUAACAAUGAUCAGAUCUGUCUGCAAGCAAAGUUAAAUAACGUUGUUGUUGGAUUUGUAACAACACAUAUGUUGUUACAGAUUAACAAACAUCACUAUUGCUUGAUAAAAUGUCUUUAUGAUAAAGGAUUGAAACAUCAUCAUGUUAGGAAAACGGUUAAUUUAUUAUUUGUAUUCCUAAAAGAAUAAGAACUGGGGAAAAAAUAUUUUAAGUUUAUCUUCCCACAACAUGAACAGGAGAGUCAAAGGAUGUGGCUAAAAUAAACUUGUCUCAGGAUCACAUGAGAUGCCUACAGUGCUGUGUUAGAUCACUUCUAGGGGCAUCCAUACUCUUAAGUAUUUCCAAGCUCUCCUAGGCUCAUCUCCACUAUACAUGGCACAUACUGUCCCUGGGUACAGCACUUACCUGACUUGUAGCAUGUUACUUCCAGGCCUUUCUAGAACUUCUAGCUGAGUCAUAAUUUAUUUGCUCACGGCAAUAAGUGAAUGUUCUACCCUGUGAUCCAGCAGCCAGUCCUAUGGGAAAAACCACACCUAAGACUACCUUUCAAUGGCUUUGUUAACCUUGCAGUGCUGACUUGUCCUAAAAAGGAGUGACUUGAAAGCUCAAGAAAGUUUAAACACUGUGAGCUCCAGGUAGCUCUGGACAGAGUGAAGUGCUUCCUGGAGGACUACCCAGGUACUCUGUCCUGGUGCUGACACUGUUUUGAUUUUAGCACUGUAUUCUUUGUAGCCCUUCUGUGUCUCACAGCAUAGCCAAAAUGUUGUGAAUCAUAAUUAGUGAUGGUGCCUAGAGUCUCUCAGAGGUUCUCAGUACAUAGAAAAAAAACCUCUGAUGAGAUCAGUGUUUUUCAGCUGUGGGCAUAAACAAGUUGGACACCUAAUUUCAGCAACUGAGAAGCUACUUUAUUGGUUUGUUAGGAGCCCAUAUUGUUCCUGAACACCAGAGAAAAGGUAAUCAGGAUCCCAUCUUGGUCCGGGAGCAGGUGGCAGUUCUUCCUCAACUCAUCCAGGCACUUAAUAGAUGUAUGGUACAGCAGUUCUGCAGCUGCAUUUGAUCCAGCUUUGAAGUUAGCUCACCUUUGAGCAUGCAGUUGGGCUACCUUUUAACCUAAAUGUUUCUAAACUUCUGUGCUGUAUGCCAUCUUCUUCACAUUGCCCAGUAACUGUAAAAGUUGUCAGAACAUAAUUGUCAUUGUGAAAGCCACUUUUGAGUCAAUUUUGUUGUUCACUGAAGAACACUGGGAAUGUGAGAGUGCUAAACUGUUAGCUGGGCUUUGUUUUGAAAGUAUUAAUUAUAAUUUUUUUUAUUUCAGCUUAA